UACGUAGGGAGCAAGCGUUGUCCGGAUUUACUGGGUGCAAAGGGUGCGUAGGCGGCCCUGCAAGUCAGAAGUGAAAUCCAUGGGCUUAACCCGUGAACUGCUUUUGAAACUGUAGGGCUUGAGUGAAGUAGAGGCAGGCGGAAUUCCCGGUGUAGCGGUGAAAUGCGUAGAGAUCGGGAGGAACACCAGUGGCGAAGGCGGCCUGCUGGGCUUUAACUGACGCUGAAGCACGAAAGCGUGGGUAGCAAACAGG
rnacentral:rRNA from 1 species